GAUCCUGGCUCAGGAUGAACGCUAGCUACAGGCUUAACACAUGCAAGUCGAGGGGAAACGACAUCGAAGGCUUGUCUUUUGAUGGGCGUCGACCGGCGCACGGGUGAGUAACGCGGUAUCCAACCUGCCCAUCACUUGGGAAUAACCUUGCGAAAGUAAGACUAAUGCCCAAUGACAUCCCACGAAGGCAUCCGAAUGGGAUUAAAGAUUUAUCGGUGAUGGAUGGGGAUGCGU
rnacentral:rRNA from 1 species